GGAAGAGAGGGUGAGCAGAGGUAUGCAGGGAGAAGGGUUCUGUGCUCCUGGGAUUAGUUCAGAUGGUCUAACCAUUGUUCUAUAUGUGCAUUUUAGUUAAUAUUGUGUAUUAAAGGAUAAGUCUUAAUGCUCAAAGUAUGUUAAAA